AGAUUGGGACUGAAGUGCUGCAGCUUUAGCUGCUCUCUGUUCUAGACUGAGGCAUGGGCUGCGGCCUGGCUGGCCUGGGCUGUGGCCUGGUUUGUGACAGUGGUUGAACACUGAUUUGCUGCAGCAUGGAUUUGUUGCAGCUGGGCCUUCGACUUUUGAGGCUACAACUCAUGUUGCAGCACUGUCUUGGAUUUGGUUUCUGGCUACAGCAGCUUGGCUUGCUAAAGCUGAGGUGCUUUAUUAUUCUAUUGUUGUUUUUGUUGUUGUUGUAUUAUAGUCCAAUAAAUAAUUAUUCACUCUUUGGUUGCUUCUUGGGAUGAAAUGGGGUAUAAAUGACUCUAAAGGACAUUAUGAUAUUAUUUUUUACUUCUUCGUACUAUUCCUGUCAAUUGAUUUUUCCCCCCUCAAAUAGUGUUCUUUAUGCCAAUUGUGCUUUGUGUU